GCUAGCCCAACCACACCGUUUCUUCUUCUCGCUCGUCUGAUCAGGAAAUAGAUCUCGCUCAAGCGAUCACGCUGCGCCGCCAAUUCCCCUAGUGGUGAUCGCUCGACUAGAUAGACGAACGUCCAGACCUACGCCCAGUCGGCUGGCGCUCGGAGCCUUGGACCGGAUCAUCUCUCGCAUCAUCGGAGCUACCCCCUCUAGCGCUAUGUUCUGCUCCAUCUACACAAUGGACUGGAUAUCUGACCGAUUAGGAAAAAAAUACCAAUCAAAGAUGAAGAAGACCCGGACAAUUAAAUCUGUUUUUCAACCAACAUUCAAACAGCCUGCAUCAAACACAUCAAUGAAUGACCAACCGAACGAGUAGGACUCGGAAAAAAAUGCGAGGAAAUGCAAUGUUUCCUGUCCUUCUAAUAUUGCUGGUGAAGAAUGAUGUCCUCAAAUAAAGCAAGUCUUCACUAAUAUGGUACGAGGGUUUCUUCUCACAGUAAAAAUGAGCUUAUAUUUCAUUUUUUUGUUAACUAUUUCUUCUCAGAGUAAAAGUGAACUUAUAUUUCAUUUGUAAUGGUGAUGUACUUCUAACAUGCAUUUGUACGCGGUAUUUAACGUUA